rnacentral:rRNA from 1 species
GAUGAACGCUGGCGGCGUGCCUAAUACAUGCAAGUCGAGCGAAUGGAUUAAGAGCUUGCUCUUAUGAAGUUAGCGGCGGACGGGUGAGUAACACGUGGGUAACCUGCCCAUAAGACUGGGAUAACUCCGGGAAACCGGGGCUAAUACCGGAUAACAUUUUGAACCGCAUGGUUCGAAAUUGAAAGGCGGCAUCGGCUGUCACUUAUGGAUGGACCCGCGUCGCAGUAGCUAGUUGGGGAGGUAACGGCUCACCAAGGCAACGAUGCGUAGCCGACCUGAGAGGGUGAUCGGCCACACUGGGACUGAGACACAGCCCAGACUCCUACGGGAGGCAGCAGUAGGGAAUCUUCCGCAAUGGACGAAAGUCUGACGGAGCAACGCCGCGUGAGUGAUGAAGGCUUUCGGGUCGUAAAACUCUGUUGUUAGGGAAGAACAAGUGCUAGUUGAAUAAGCUGGCACCUUGACGGUACCUAACCAGAAAGCCACGGCUAACUACGUGCCAGCCGCCGCGGUAA